rnacentral:misc_RNA from 1 species
AACGCACAUUGCGCUUUCUGGUAUUCCGGAGAGCAUUUCUGUUUGAGAAUCAGUUUAACUCUCACAACCCCUCUUCUUGUCUUGGCAAGAACUUUGGAGCUUGUGGAUUUGAUCUCUUUCACGCAUUAAUUUAUUAAUUCGUGUAGAUCAAAACUGAUCCUAGCGCUAAAAGCAAUUUUCCCUCUUUUAGACCCGAAGGCAUUAUGAAUAAAGAAAGGUCUUGUACCUUUUUUUUUAAACUCUUGCUGACAACGGUUUAGAAACUUAUAGGGUAGUUGUAUUUCUAUCGCUAAAAAACUUCAAUUCAACAAGAUCUUCUUUUUUGAAAAUCUUAAGACUUGAUCUCAAAUCAGAUUAGACUACCCGCUGAACUUAA